GGAAGACAACAUACAGACUCAUGUUGUAAGAUCUUUCUGGAGAAGAGUCCUGCAUAUAGAGGGGACCACAUGAAGACCAUGAGAAGGAAAUAAAUUCUGCCAACAACUGAAACGAUCCUGGAAGCAGAUUUUCUCCUAGAGCCUCCAGGUGAGAAUCCAGGUCAACCGACACCCUGACUUUGACCUCGUGAGACCUGAAGCAGAGUCUUAGCUGAGCCUGCUGAACUUCUUGACCUACAAAACUGUCAGGCAGAGGCAGUAAAGAAAAUUGGAUACUUAAUGAUUAUCUCCCUCUCCAGCCUAAUGUGCAUAAGAUUAACACUCCCCUGUCCUCCUCCCCUUUGCAU